rnacentral:lncRNA from 1 species
UAAAACAUAUGGCUCGGUUCUAUAAAGGGUUAGACGAGGAGAAGAUGGGGCUUGAAAAAUUGGGGAAAUUGCUGGACCAAAAUCGAUACGGAUUGAAGCGCAAUGCUGGGUCGGAUAGUCUACUGACAGCUUCUUCACAUUUAGAAUGAUACAAAGCUUUGAUUUGGAUUCCAAGAUAUCAAGAUUUAUCAUCACAUUUGGUUCAAAUCCCUUAUGGCGUCGCCCCGCGUUUGCUCCAAUUUCUUACGCCAUCCCAUUUGCUCCAAUUUCUUCUUACAUUACGUAUCACUCAUUUAUUAGUGUAAUUUGUAAGAAUCUUUUUUUUUUUUUAGUGUAAUUCAUUCUGUUUAAUGGAAUAGAUUAAAAAACAAGCAGCCUCUGCACAAUUAGCAGAUUUUGUUUAUAGUUGAGAUUUGAUUUGAUAACGACCCAUUAAUAUCUAAUUAACAAAAAUUCUGUUGGCUUAUCAUAUGCUUUAAUUUUGGGGUUACUAACUUCCUAGACUACAAUGCUUUGACUUUAUUACAUUAUUUAAGUAUUGAAUCACUAAACAUUAGGGAUCAUUGUAGUUGUUAAUGACAGUUUUGAUGGAAGGAUGUGUGACCUUUUUGUUAUUUAAGUGAAGUCAAAAGAAGAGAAUAUAUGUCAAUGCCAUAAUCCCAAGUAAUUAAUGAUAAUUACUUAAUGCUCUAUUAAUUUCCCUUCAAUCACAAAUAUGAUACAUAAACAUCACAAAACAACAAACCAUAUAUGUAAUUCAACUGCAAACCUGAAACAGAGUAUAGCAUAUAUAAUCUGAUUUACCACUUAGUCAAUCAUAUAAUGUUAGUUUUUCAUGUAUAUAUUAUAUAAGGAGCAUAAAGUUGAUGAGAACUCAAACUCUCUUAGGUUGGGUCUACGUUAAAGUUGUUGGUGCUUCUCAUUCUUGUCUUCUUAAUUUAAUGUUGAGACGAGAUUCUUUAUAAGAUCUAAUUUUUUCAGCUGCUCGGCGUAAUGGCCUUCCAAUUGAAGUUCUUUGCAAAGCUGAAACUUCUUCAGAUCUGGGGGAGGAUGGUGAGUUCUUUUCUUUUUCACCAGCGAUAAGUUUUAUGUCUUCAAUUUCAAACAACUUCUCUUCAAGGUCCCUCACUUGAUGUCUAAAUCUACUAGAGUGCCUUCUUACACAAUGCCUGAAAAUACAUAAAUAUGUAAACCAAAUAGUUGAAACCCUUCCUAGUUUGCUGCUUGAUAAUCAUUUGGUUUUUCAAAAUUCAACUUGUUUUCUCAUCCUUUUCUUUGCGUAUGGUCUUCAUUUUUCUUACAAGAACAUUUGAAUAGUCGAAUUCUUGAAACCAAAACAAGUUCUUAAAGACCAUCCUUUUAGAAAAAAUAAUGGUAUUUAUUUUGUGCAGAGGCAGGAGAGUGCACCCUUAAAUCAAAGUAUUGUGCGUUUGAGCUAAGUUAAAAGCUUGUCGUGUAUUUUAAAAAACAUUUAUAGAACCAAAAGUUAAGGUCCUGUUUAGUGACCAUUUGAGUUUUGAAAAGUAAGCAUAUUUCCUAAUGUUUUGAUCCUUUUUAGUAAAAGAGUUGAGUUCUUAGCCAAAUUCAAAAAACAAACAAGUCUUUAAUACUACUUUUUUUAGUUUUUUAAUUUUUUGAGAAGAUUGAGACAAAUUAUACUAAGCAAGAAGUUAGAGGUGGAAGAUGUAUUUGUAAAACUAAAAACUAAAAACCAAAUGGUUAUCAAACAUGUAAAAAUUGGAAACAAUCAUGCACAAAUAUGGUUAUGUAUAUAAAACGUGUGCAGGACUGACUAACCUCUUGUUCACAACUUUCUGUUUAUCAACCACUGUUGAGUAUGAAGUUGAAGGGCUCAUAGCUGCAUUGGUCAAAGUGCCAUUAGUUUUCAACCAAAACAAUAAGUAAGAUAAGUAGAAGAAUAAACAGAGAAAGGGAAUGAUAGUAUACAUAGUGUCAAUAUCUCAUCAGUUUCAAUAAAUGUGUAAAAUCAGAGUAAUAUGACGGUUCUGAGGGCAAGCCAAAAAGGAGUUAAGAAGUGUUUUAGUGUGUUGUAUGAGAAAGGAUUCAUGGAGAAGCAUUUUAUCAAAAGCAAUUUCAGAAAAGUAAACUUAAGAUCAAAUAAUUUCUUGUGGAAAGUUUUUUACUGAGACCCCAUUGGGUAAUAUUGCAAUCAAAGUACUAUAAUUCCAAAUUCAAACACUAAUCCCCUAAACCUUAAAUUGUUGGAAUCAAAGUUGCUAAUUCUUGGUCCCAAAAUAACAAACCCUUUACACAGUUUCUAUAUAUCGUUUCAUGAAAACUUACAUUUACUUCUAGUUCUUCCAGGAGGCUUUAUAUUUCCAUUGCCAGAUUUGGUGUCAGUAUUAACAAUUGCAAGUGAAGGUUGCCCUGUUGCCUUCUCUCCUUCCUGGAGGCAGGAAAAUAGGUGAAGUUAUCUAAAAUAUUUGUGAGCAAUGUGUGAGGACUAAGCACAAUAAUAAAUCAGAUACCUUGAAAAGAAAAAAAGAAAUCACCAAAUUACCUGCCAUUCAGAAUUUCUAUUAUUCAUCUCUGCUUUACCCUGUCAGAAUAUAAAGUCAUUGUUCAUCAAUGAGAAUUGGUUCAGUAUUUUUCAUAAAACUAGCUUAUCUAAAUUGUUUAAACUUUGAUCUCCCCUCAAAGCCUAGUUGGUUCUUGUUUGUAAAGAAGUGUUGUUAUUGUACACGUAGCUGCUAUAAUGUCUCAUUUGUGCUGAAUGUGCUGAUCCCUUUAAUAAUUAGAAUCUUUUCUACCAAUCUAUAAGAAUGCAUUGUAAGAACUUAUUUAUUUCUAUUCUUGGUUUGUAAGCUCUUUUUAGUUCAUUAUUUUCCUCAUGAUUAAAUAACAAAUUUAGUCAGCAAAUUUGGAUAAUAAUUUUAUUCUGGGUAAAUUUGGACUCUAGAAGAAUCAGAUUCAACUGAAACAAAAGAUAAAAUAUUGAGCUGAGGCUCAUGAGGAGUACCCUUGACUCGCGAUGAGGCUAAGGGAAACCCCUUUUGGUUCAAGAGUGGACGCACCCAUAGCCAAAGAGGAGAGGGAAAUAAGUUUUUUCUCAUCUCGAAAAACUUUAACUAUAGACCUCAUGCACUGAACGUGUUGUGCCAAGAUAUGCAACUAGUGCCUAAACUCUCCUUGUUUUACGACUUCGCUAAAUUAAAAAUUCACUAUUGCUAUCAUGUGAAGGUCAUGUUCAACCCCAUUAGGAGUUUGGCAUUAUAUAGUUCUAAACAUUGGAAUGUGAUUCUACCAAAUCUUUAUCAUUAGAUCACAGAAAGAUUAGGAACUAAGUAAAAUAAAUGUCCCUGCUAGUAAGAGUCUUAAGAUAAUACCUCUACAGUCAAACGCUUUGCCCUUAGCAAAGCCUCCUUGCAUUCAAUCUCAUGCUCCAGUGAUUUUAUCUACAACACAUCAGUAACAAAUUAUUGACCAUCACAUAGAAAUAAAUGCAUUAUGCACCAAGAAAUCAAUUCAAGACAUUUUGAAACUUACUCUCUUUCUCCCUAAAUUGAUUUCCUGCAAAAGAAAAGCAGUGUGGUUAUAAUUAAAUAAUUAUUAACAACACUCGUAAGAGGAAUAACAAGAAUUGUAUAUAAUCUUACUGCUAAAAAUCGACUGUUUGAUUGAGCAAGAUGCCAAUUCUGAAGCUGCAGUUUCUGAAUGCUUGCCCUAAGUUUCUCCAACUCAGCUUCACUCAGCUCAAUUAUUUUACUGUUGAAACGUUUAGGAAUUCUUUUUCAAGUUUCUGUUUCGAUGGAAACUUCAAGACCUAAUAUUUAGGCUAAAGUAAGUUUCUAGGUCAAUCAAAGAACUGCCCAACCAUGAAUAGCAGCAGUAAAGCUAUUCUCAUUCUUGAUUCUAAAAUAGCAAAAGUAAAAUCAAUUUCAGAGAUUUCAUGAUGUAGAGUUUUUACUUUGGUGAAGUAUUGGUUGAUAGUUAUAGUUAUCUUCCUCUCAGCAAUUGACAGGAGCUCAUUCUGCAAUCUUGCAUCGUUUUUAUUUGAGAAAAGUGAGGUGUUUCUCAUGUCCAAUGCUUUCUUUGGCAUCUAAAAGAUAUUAAUGUACUCCAAUAUUUAAUCAUCAACUGUAGUUUGUUUUAAUUGGAAACAUUGCCUUCGCUAUUUCAUUUUAUCAUAAGGUGGAUUCACUUCAUUGCCUACUACAACAUCUACAAAUCUUGGGAUUACAAAUAUUUUCCAAUGCAUGUAGACCAAGUUUCAUAAUUCUAAAUGUCCAGCUUUUUUAUUCCUCCAACAACUUGAAAGUCUCCCAUCAUCAUGUAGUGACGAAUUCACUCAACGAGUAGCUUUUUACUCAAACUCUCAUGCUUUCUUUCUUCCUCUCUCUGCUUUUUGCUUUGCUUGCUUACUUAGAUUUACCAAUGAAGGCACAACCACUAUUUAUAAUGUGAGAUCCUUAAAGCCUAACCAGGUGGAUCUUUCUGGAUUGAUCUUGGCUCAUAAAUAUUUAGAUAUUUUUGGUUUUCUUGUCUAAAGGAAUUCUAUUGGAACCUAAAGAAAAUCUAGAAUUUUUCUAAAUUCUCCUUUUCAGAUAUUUAUUUACAUACUUCCAAAAAAAUAAUUCUAGAGAUGUCUAAUUUACACACUAAUAUAUCAAAUUGGGGAUACUUCAAGAAUCUUCUAAACUAGUUAUAUUAGUUUAACUUUCUUUUUGCAAGCAACUCUUUAAUAGGGUGUGACUUGUUAAAAUAUAUUGCAACACUAACUAGUCUACAAGAAUCCUGAAAUAUCCACAAUGAUAUCGUUAGGGUGUAAAUUAAUUUUCUCUAGAAUUAUGUUGAAAGAUGUUAACAAAUAUCUAAAAAAAAAUUUAGAAAUAUCAUAGGUUUUCUUCAAGUUAAGAAAUUAUAGAAUUUCUUUAGAAAAUAUAAAACCAAGAAAUAUCUAGAAUAGUUAAAAAGUCUAUAAAUAGGGUUGUGUCUUCAUUUGUGAACCAAACAAGCAAAGAUUGUUAGAGAAAAAGUUUGAGUAAAAAGUGAGUGAGUGUGUAAGAGAAUAAAAGUUAGAGAAAGAAAACAAGAGAGAGUUAGAGAAAUAGUUUGAGAGAAAAGAAAGCGAGUGUCAUGAGGGAGUAAAAGGAUAUUCUCUCCAAAGUGUCCAUUUUUGCCAUUUCUCAAUAAAAGUUUUAUUUUUCAAAUAAAUUGUCAAAUUUCUUCAUCAAGACUAACUGUAUUUAAAUUCUUAGGAUUGGACAAGUAAAAUGAAAAAUUCAUUUAUUAACCUAUGAAAUUAAGAGCCAGUGAAACAAGUAAUGUAAAGAAAAUUUAUUGAAGACAACAAAAUAUGAAACAGAGAAGCAAAAUCUAGAAGGAUACUUCCUCUCCAUGAUAAGUUUCAUAAGACCCAUAUUUUCCUGUUCCACAAAUUAAAAUCAAACCCAACAAAAGUCUCAGAAACAACAACUUGAAAUUAAAGAAACAAGAAAACAACAUUUAAUUUAAAAAUCUGAAAGAAGAUGCAACAAAGAAACCAGAUACUUACCUUCACUAGCUGAUCUAUGACGCUUUUCUUCGGCUGCGAAGCUUCGGAAGAGUUUUCAUCUUCAAGGUGAGAUCUCAUUGUUUUUGAAUUCGUAAUAUCUGCAAGUUUGUUUCUCAUUUUGCUUCCAAUCGAAGAUGUUUUUGCCAUUGCAAAUAAAAAAAAAUUGGCAACAAAAUGGGGGGGGGUUUUAUAGAGUUUAUGAUGAGAAAAAUUUUUGGUUUUAAAGAGAUAUGAAAAGCCAUGAAUACAGAGAAUUAAAGUUAGAAGGGAAUAAAGGAAAAAGAAGAUGUGAUAAAGAGUUCAAACUAAAGACGAAGCUGAAGAAGAAGGGAGGUCCGGGAAAACAACGGCUUUCCGAACCAAAAAGUUAAACGACACCUAAUUUUGAACUUCUCCCACCCAAUAUUUAAAUAUUUGAACGUUCCAUUCAGAACCUUUCCUGAAUUUGAGGAGUUUUUAUUUUUUUACUCAUAUGCUCUCAUUUUAGUUCUUUUCAAAUAUUGAAAAAAUAGCUAAAAUAUUUACAAAUACGCAAAGAACGUGCGAUGUCUAGUCACACACACUUUGACGUUCAAGUCAGUUUAGUAUUUUAGAGUAACUUGACAGUAGAGAAAAUAGUGAAUAUUCAGGCAUAUUUGGACAUAUUCAAACGUACCUUCAACCAAUAGUCUUGGUCGUUUAUAUAAUUAACAUAGUGAUGUGUAACCAAUGCUUAGGUCAUAAUUACGCGUGCCUCUUGAACUUCCACAAUGUUUGAGUUGAUAAUCAAUGGGCAGUUUUACUACCAUUAUGACAAACCCAUAUGCUCCUAACGAUUCUCUUUACGACACUUGUUCGUUCGAAAUCCAAACGGUUUCACAUUCAAUGGCUCAAAGGUCUUCCUCUGUGGAACCUUUAAGCUCUUCUUGGUAGUGCUCUAGGAGUACUUUUCCUUGUAGGUUCUCAUCUUAGGAAGUUAGGUUAUCCCUAAUAGAUUUCCCUUCUAUUGAGCUUCUCUUGGGAGGCUAGGUUCUCUCUAGUAAGUCCUCCUUCUGUAAGCUCCUCUUAGGAGACUAGGCUCUUCCUAGUGGAUCCUCCUAUGAGCUUUUCUUAGCAAAAGCUAUGCAGAUCCUUCUCCUCUGAGUUCCUCUUAGAAGGCUAGACUCUCCCUUGUGGAUUCUCCUUAUGUGGUUUUUAAGAAGCUAGUUUCUCCCUACUGGUUUUCCUUGUAUGAGUUCAAAUAAGGCUCUCUUAGACUUACCUCAUAAGUCCAUUGAGCUAUCACUAGCCUUGCUUAUAUUCAUCUCAUGGAUCCACCAAGAUUUUAUUGAGCUCACUUAAACUCACCUCAUGGGUCGACUGACCCUCAUAGGCCCAUCGAGCUACCGUUGAGCUCGUCUAGCUAGGUUCACCUCAUGAGUCCAUCGAGCCCCUAUUAGGCUCGAUUAGGUUCUCCUAUAGGUUUGUUUGAGUAAGUUAAAAUUCACCCACAACAAAUAUAAUAAAAUAUUUGUCUACCGUAAUUUAUAUAAAUAAAUUGUAAUAUUUGUAAAUAUUUUCUAAAGCUGAGUGGUUUAAAAUAAUUUAUUGAAAUUAAGUAUAUAAAAUUAUUUCUAAGACUUAUGUUCACCUAGUUGUUAAAGUUAGCUCUUCAUUCUUUUGUAAAAGAAAGAAAAAACAAAAGUUAUUCACAUGCUUUUUCAUUAUCCUAUCAUCUUUGGAAUCAAUUUUCAACAUUGCUCUUUAUAAUUAAGAUAUAUUUUAUACAUAUAGUAAUAUAUCUUUUUCACAUUACCAAACUCAUCUUCCAAUUUUUCAUAUAUUUGAAUAAUGUGACCACUUUUUAAAAUUAAAGUUAUUUUCCUUCAUACUUAACAAUUAUAAAUUAUACAAAAAAAAAUAAUUAACAAUUGUUUUUUAUAUAGUUAUUAUAUCUAAAACACAAUUGAAAUCAAAUAUCUAUUUGUUAAGACUAGUUUAUACUUCCUCCCAAUUAUAUGUUGUUGCAAUCAAAAACUCUUAUUUAUUGGACUUGUAUACACAAAUAAUAAAAGAUCUUGAAUGCGGCAUACAUAGUAACAUUUGUGUAUUCAAAAUUUUUAUGGUCAUCUUUAUUAUCCAAGAGAUGUACGUUUUUCAUUUUGGUCUAUGCCGCACAAAACCAACUUAAACACAAUUGAUAAAUACUAAACAACAUCUUGUACAUCUUAACAAGUAUUCCACGCCUCACUUUAUGGAUUAGUGGAAGGUUGUAGUGUACUAAAUCUAUUAUCUUUUGUAAUUGGGAAGCAUCUUUUAUGGGGCUAAAUUGGAAUGCUUUUCUUUGACCUCUCCAUCUUAUUGUAUUAUUUUUCUCCUCUUGUUUUCUAACUCUCCUUAUUUGAACUUCUAUGUACUUAUAUUUUUUGAAAUGCAUCGACAUUGGAACAGCAUGAUGAAGGUAGUAUGAGUUUGUAUCAAUCUAGUUGAAAUAUCAUAGAGAUAGCAUAGAUUACUUACUAGUUUUACUUUCAUUCCUAUCCUAUUAAAUAAAAUGGUUUUUUUUUAAGAUACUCUAAAACAUGAGAGUUUUAAUUUUCAUAUAUUGAAGGCAAAACAAAAUUAAAAUUAAAUUGCCGCCCUCCCCUUAUUAAAAAAAAAGAAAAAGAAUGUGUACUUCAACUUCUCGUUGGCAUUGGCCGUUGAAUGUACAAAGGACGGCUUUGAUCUUAUCCGUACAUAUUUGUUUUUUGUUUUCUUUGUUUUCUUUGUUUUCUGUUUUUUGAUUCUUGUUUCUUUUAGUUUUAUGGUUUCCGUACUUAUCCAAUCCUUGUGGUGAUGAUUUUAAGUCUUUCAAGUACUUUAAUCAAUCAAUUCUACAUUAUAUUUAUUAUGACUUAAUUAAGGCACCCCUCUCUAAUUCUUAAUACUUAUAUUUAAUGCAAUAAUAUAUGUCCAUAAUAUAUAUAUAUAUUUAGUAUUUUAAUUACUUCAUAAUGUGUUUCUAUAUAUUCUUUAAAAUACCUAAUUAUUUCAGUUCAAAUAAAAUUAAACUUUAACAUAUGAAUUUCUUGUGUUAUAUAAAUUCAAUAUGUCUUGUGGUAAGGAGAAGAUGUGUCUACGUAAAAUAAAUAACCAUGACUAUGAUAGCUUUUUAUGCAAAUUUAAGAAUGAAAUAAAAUCGAAAAGACUGCAUUAAUAAAAUGAAUACAAAAGAAAAUAGAAACGAAAUAUGACGAUGGUUAAUUAAAAUAAAUUAUUAGUUUGGUAAUUAUGGGUUGUGUUUAGUUGUGAGAACUCGUUUUCUAUUUCUUAAAAUAACUAAAUAACUAGAUCAGAAUAAUGUCGGAUAAAUAAAAUAAAAUAAAAUAAAAUAAAGCAGAAAAACCAUAAUCUUAUUCUACAUAAUUUUUAUAAUGAUUGCAUCAUCUAUUCAAUAUGAUUAAGUCAAUCACAAUUUGUGAAAUUGAUAAAGUUGAAAAAAAAAUAAACUCGAGCAUAAUAAUUCAAUUAACUACAACCAAAGCCCAAAUAAAACAAAAUUCAAACAACAUCAAUGAAAAAACUAUUAGCUUUAGAAAAUUUUAUAAUAGUUAUUGGGAGAAAAAGUUUAAUUAACCAAGUUAAAAAAAAAAAAAUUAAAGCUCCAUUUAGUGAUUUAAUUGAUUUUCUUUUUAUCUUUUUGAAAUUUUAGUCUAUAAAUACCAUUUCCAAAUAGCGAAGAAUACAUGGUGGAUGAAUCAUUGUAAAGUUGAUAGAAAAAUAAACUUAAUUUUCUAAAAUAAAAUAACUAACAUAUAGGAUAUAGGAGACUAAAUUAUUGAUAUGCUUUUUUAUAUAUAGGUGAUUUAAUCACAAAGCCAUGUGAAAAAGAGAUAAUCUACGUUGGUAAUUUGGUACACAAAUUAAUAUUCAAUUUGGUGAUGGAGAAGAAAG